CUAGAGCUCCCUUCGGGGUUCAGGUUCCACCCUACCGAGGAGGAUAUCAUCACCUCGUACCCGGUCCCCAAGGUGCUCAACCCAACCUUCAUCGCGAUAGCGAUCGGGGAGGUAGAUCUGAAUAAGAACGAGCCAUAUGAGCUUCCCAAGAAGGCAAAGAUGGGGGAGAAGGAGUGGUACUUCUACUGUCAGAAGGACCGCAAGUAUCUCAUGGGGAUACGGACCAACCGGGCCACGAAAGCCGGCUACUGGAAGGCCACGGGCAAGGACAAGGAGAUCUUCCACCCAACGCCCACUCUCAUCGGCAUGAAGAAGACACUCGUGUUCUACAAGGGCAGGGCGCCUAGGGGGGAGAAGACCAACUGGGUCAUGCACGAGUACAGGCUUGAGAUCAGCAAGCAGCCUGCAUCCGGCCCAUCAACCGCCCCCAAAGCUGCCGCCAUUAAUGCAUCCUUCAAGAAGGAGCGUGUGGUUUGCAAAAUCUUCCAUAAGAACACUGGAGUCAAGAAGGUGGUGACCCCGUCGUACGCCAUGCACAUGCCCAUAUCGAUGGGAGGAGAGCCGCAACAAAGCUCCCUCAACUCUAGUACAUUUCCGCCUCCCAUGGACUAUGGCGCAUCGUUGUCGCUGGCGCCUCCGCUGUUUUUGUCUGAAGCUUCUUCGUACCAUUUGCACGCCGCCAGAGCCGGCUCGUCGAUGACGGGCAGCUUGGUGCUCCCCAUGGUGAACAACCACUACCUUGAGAACCACCACCUGAUGACGGGCGGCAACCCAAUGUUGUCCUACCAACAACAGCAGAUGAUGCAAAUGCAAAUGGGUGCAGACCAGGGCUUCAUGGUGGGGGUCUAGCCGUCGUCCAUGGUGUCCGAAGAGGACGUCGUAACCGGCUGA
rnacentral:rRNA from 1 species